AAUAAAGUCCAGGGGGGUAAGGCAGCAGGACCCUCAAACUUGAGGUACCUGUUUGCAAGAAAACCAAAAACCUUGAUCUGGAUAUGGUGUUUACCUGCAACGUAUAGCAGCCAUACGAAACGAUUAAGGCCACGAUUUCGUGCCUCUUACACCAAAUCCCUAGCAUAUAAUUGUUCCAUGCUUCCUAGAUCCAUUACUCCUCAAACCACUUCAACAAAAAUCAAUAGAGAAAUCGAAGAAGAUAGCUCUCGGUAUACGAUUUUCGGAUUUUUCGAUGAUUCAAGAAAUAUUUGGAUGAGAUCGAUACUAUCCAACUCAGUUGCUUGCUUAUCUCGGUGUAAAUUGAUAUCACGAGAUCGACGUAGAUAAAGAAAACGAUGGGGAUGGGGACUGAGUUUGACGUGAUCAGUUCCAACAUAAAAUCAUGUGAUAAUCACAAUUAAUUAAAAUAAUGUAUAAUUAUAUAAAAAAUAUCUAAUUACAUUACUACCCUCAGUGAUAUAUUUUUAUUUAUUAUAAUUUAAAGAGUUAGUUAAAAAAAGUUAGAGGCCUGCAACUGUUCUCGCAUUUUCGUAAAUCACAGAGGUUCUCGUUUGAACUCUUCCCUAUAUUAAGGUUAGCUUAGGCGUAUUUUGAUUUAACUAGAUAUAUGAUAAUUGUAACGUGUUGUUUUGUAUUAAGUUAUUGACUUUAUAUAAUGUGAAC